AGAACUCUUUUAAGUCCUGCAAGAGUUGCAAUUUACUAGUACGUGACAGGAGAACUUGAUCAAGUAAUCAGCAUCUUGUCUCCAAACUUCGGAAGCAUUCCUACUUACAGUCUGCUAGAACUAGAAAGCCUAGGUAGAGCUAUGAAAGGAAAGCAUACAGGACCAUGAAGUUUUACAAGCUUUUGUAACAGGACAAGUUUUAGUGGUGAAGCAAAGCAGGGAGUGCAUCCGAACAGUAAUAACCUAGGACAAGACUGACGAUGAGUUUAACAAAGGGUCCCAUGAUGAUUGAUCAUGUUCCAACUCCGAGGUUUCUC
rnacentral:lncRNA from 1 species